CUUGUUCUACUCUGACAGAACUGUUUCCUGCAAGAGUCUCAGUAAUUCAAAUGCAGCUACUCACAGGGGCUUCCCUGCCAGCUCAAACCCAGUGACCUCAAUGCAGGAAAGCAGUGACUAAGUAAAGAGGAAUUUUGUGAUGAGGGGGAUUGGAAAGCUGGGUUGUACUACAGCUUUGGAAGAAAGUUUAUCUGGUCAUCUUAACUGGUCUGUUUCAGUCAGAUGCUGCAGAGACGGCCUUGGAGAAUGAGCAAGAGAGAGGAGAAAAACCCCCAACAAGAUUCUCAACUUCUGGCAAAACUGGCUCUGUCUUAAGGGCUAACUGUAGAACUUAAUGAAGCCAACAGAAAUUUCAAUCGAAAGAGCCUCUGGAGUCCAGCUUCACAAAGAAGAGAGCAGAAGUGCUCUUUGAGGUGUUGAUGCAUGUCCAGAGAAGAGCAACACAGCUGGUGAAGGUUCUGGAGCACAAGGCUGACAGGAAGCACCUGAGGCUCAGGGGAGACCUUACCCCUUUGUACAACUGUCUGAAAGGAACAUGCAGAGAGGUGGGGGUCAGUCUCUUCUUCCAGUGAAAGAGGGGUAAGGUUGAAGGAUUGGCUAAAUCUGCCCAUGAAUGUGUGCUAUGGGAACUUAGUACAUCACUCCGGAUGUCCAGAGCUACUGAGACAACCCUUGGGAGGCUCGGAGGUCCUGGAAUGUUGCCAAAAGUACCUGGUGGCUUGACUUUGAUCCUUCUAAAGAAAUGACACCUGAAUGUGAGGAAAUGAGAGAAUUUCAAGCCUGAAUGGUGAGGGGAUGAUAUUCACUUGAUAAAACUUAAAUUAUAAUGCACUGUACAGGGGGGUUUUAUAUAUUGCACAGAGGGGUUUGGAAUGCUGUACAUGGGUUGGGAGUCCCAAGAUGGAGGAAUUUGGGCGUGCCCUGCCCUUCUUCUUUCUUCUCCUUAGCAUCCAUGUUCAGGAUGAUGUUGGCAUGUGUGGAUUGGUUCAUAGUGAAAGUGCACUUGCCAACAAGGGCGAAAAGUAUUGGAAAUUGAAGGUAAAUAUCUAAUACGUAGUUUUCACUAUAAAAGAGACAACCGCCCCGUGGGUGGGAGAGAGUGCCCUUGGCUGUCUUGCUGAUCAGACCUCGGCUGGACAGACAGAAAAACUUUGUAGAUAAGGAACAAUAAACUCAACUGAAGACCAAAAGGAAGAGUCCAGACUCCUUCUU